rnacentral:lncRNA from 1 species
AAAAACAAUAAAAUUGAGAAUGGAAAUGGGGAAUGUGUCAAAGAGACAACAACCCGCCCAAAUAAAAAACAACAGCAGAGGGUCACCAACAGGUCUUCAAUGUAGCGAGAAAUUCCCGCACCCGGAGGCGUCCUUCAGCUGGCCCCUAAACAAAUAUAUACUAGUCCAGUGAUAAUGAACGCCAUACUAAUUUCCAAAUUGUACACAAGAAACUAAAAUUAAAAUAAUACAAGACUAACAAAGGCCAGAGGCUCCUGACUUGGGACAGGCGCAAAAAUGCGGCGGGGUUAAACAUGUUUGUGAGAUCUCAACCCUCCCC